CCUUGAUGUCGGCAUUUCGUUUUAAAUUUGACUAGAACACACCCGCGAAAUCGCGGGCAUAUAUACAGCUUGUGAACUGUUGCAGGAUGAUUUUUUGUAAAAGAUAUUAUGUAUGGAGAAUUACAUAGAAGGUAUACCUCCCUUUUUCCAAAGUCCGAUAUUUGUUUCCUUUCUGUUAAAUUCAAUUAGAUUCGUGUUUCUGGCCCUACGACCACAAUUAUUCCUCUCCUUUGCUACGCUACAAUGCUUCUUUUGGUAAAAGUCAAAUCAAAUUAAAAAUUUGCACCGUUUCAAACAUGAAAUAAAUGUAACUGCUUAUAUAUCUAUUAGUCUAAAAAAUAUGCUUCUAUGACAAUUCAUCAGUGCUAUUUUUUUUGAGAGCCUUAUUAACAUGCCAAUUGUAGGAUUUGAAUCAUGUAUAAAUGACUAAUACCGACUAAUGCUAAUUUGAGGGGUUGUCGAUCGGAGGGGUCCUGAUCCCGAAAUCCCGGGCUUAAAACCAUUAAACUGAGAUGCAGAAUUUAAAGAAAUUCAUAUCCCGAAAUCGAAAAAUAUAUUCCCGGAUCCCGUAAGGAUCCAUCCUCAAAUACCGAGCUUGAAAACACCCGAUCCCGACGCCCCGAAUAAGGUCCUGCCUCCCUCUAAUCUCUACCUUACUUUCAUUUUUGCCAAAUCACUAUUUUCCCUUUUAACAAUAAAUUUUUAUGCCCCAAUUAUGGGCAUUAUGUUUUCUAGUCUGUGCAUCCGUGCGUUCGUUUGUUCGGUCUUCCGUCCGUCUGUCUGUCCCACUUCAUGUAAAAGUUUUUGGUCGAGGUAGUUUUAGAUGAAGUUGAGCAUGUUUUACUUAUUUUAAUAUAUAAAACAUGAUAAUAUAGGCUAUGCCUGUGUCGUUAUUUGCGUGACGAUAAGUGAUUGAAUGACAAUAAAACAUGAUAAUAUGGGCUAUGCCUGUGUCGUUCUUUACGUGACGAUAAGUGAAUGACAAAAAUGAUUGUGUUUAUUUUCACACGGCCUGGGUCGUUGCUUACACUUGGGACAACAUAUAACGAUCAGGCAAUGUUAAAAUGGUUUGCAUGAAUCUUAAAUAAAACAUGAUAAUAUAGACUAUGCCUGUGUGGUUAUUUACGUGACAAAUAAAACAUGAUAAUUUAGGCUAUGUCUGUAUCGUUAUUUACGUGACGAUAAGUGUGAAAAUGGCUUGCACUUGGGACAACAUAUAACGAUUCAGGCAAUGUGAAAAUGGCUUUCAUGAAUCUUAAAUAAAACAUGAUAAUAUAGACUAUGCCUGUGUCGUUAUUUAAGUGACAAAUAAAACAUGAUAAUUAGGCUAUGCCUGUGUCGUUAUUUACGUGACGAUAAGUGAAUGACAAAAAUGAUUGUGUUAUUUUCACACAGCCUGGGUCGUUGCUUACACUUGGGACAAUGAAUAACAAAAAUGAUUGUGUUUAUUUUCACACAGCCUGGGUCGUUGCUUACACUUGGGACAACAUUCUUAUAUAACGAUUCAGGCAAUGAAUCUUAAAUAAAACAUGAUAAUAUAGGGUACAUGUAUGUCAUGUGUAAUGUAAAAACUUCUGGAAAUAUAAACGGAAGAGGAAGUUGUCUAUGAAUAAAAGCCGGAGUGAUGACGGACAUAUAUCCGGACUUCAUUUUUUCCGUUUUUCUCCCAAAAUAACCGAAACUGAAUAAUCAUAAGAAUGGAUGACAAAUGCGACUAUGCAUGGUAUCUAUAGGACAUAUAGUCACAAUGAUCAAUUUAUUGUGGAAGGAGGAGAA
rnacentral:lncRNA from 1 species